UCUCAAACCCGGAGUGCCUACCUUCUUCCCUUCCCCAGUACUUCAUGGAUCCUGCCUUUUUAAUCAGUCUCAGGCCCUCUGUUAGCUCUCUGCAGAACCUCCACCGUCAAUGCACAGGACCGCUGAAAUCAGCGGGGCGUGCCUUCCUGCUGCUGCGGCGGCGGGACUCCCCAGUAGGUGACUGGAUCCCGGACGAGCCCCCAAAUUGUGAGAAACUCUGUAGCCAAUAACAUAGGCUCAGGCGAGGAUCUCAGUGAAGUAGCAAUUGUAUUCAUGAUUGCAAUGGUGGGUGUCCCAUAAGCAGGAGCAUGCCUACUAGUCACACGGUACAGUUUAUAUAUUUUAUUACUCGGCGACCAGGACCCUCCCCUGUUUCCCCAUUGACUGGGUAAUCCAGGUUCACAACCUAUUCGAUGCUUCACAGACAAUACAUGGCCUUUAGUUGCCAGCCUGUUAUUAGUCAAAUUUCUUUUGACUUUUUUACUCUUUGAGGUGGUAAUGUUUCUUAAACAGUGAAUAUCCACCUAAUUGCUCUAAGGAUUCUGGUUGUCUGCAUUUUACAAGGUUGUCUGUUUUAAUAAAUACUAAAAUUCCAAAUAGGAUUUUAAUCAAAGUUU